UACGUAGGGGGCAAGCGUUGUCCGGAAUCAUUGGGCGUAAAGCGCGCGUAGGCGGCCCGGUCAGUCCGUUGUGAAAGUCAAAGGCUCAACCUUUGAAUGCCGACGGAUACUGCCGGGCUAGAGUCCGGAAGAGGCGAGUGGAAUUCCUGGUGUAGCGGUGAAAUGCGUAGAUAUCUGGAGGAACACCGGUGGCGAAGGCGGCAUCCUGGACCGACACUGACGCUGAGGCGCGAAAGCUAGGGGAGCAAACGGG
rnacentral:rRNA from 1 species